rnacentral:rRNA from 1 species
UAGGGAAUCUUCGGCAAUGGGGGGAACCCUGACCGAGCAACGCCGCGUGAGUGAAGAAGGUUUUCGGAUCGUAAAGCUCUGUUGUUAAGGAAGAACGAGUGUGAGAAUGGAAAGUUCAUGCUGUGACGGUACUUAACCAGAAAGGGACGGCUAACUACGUGCCAGCAGCCAUGGUAAUAAGUAGGUCCCGAGCGUUGUCCGGAUUUAUUGGGCGUAAAGCGAGAGCAGGCGGUUAGAUAAGUCAGAAGUUAAAGGCAGUGGCUCAACCAUUGUAGGCUUUGGAAACUGUUUUACUUGAUUGCAGAAGGGAAGAUUGGAAUUCCAUGUGUAGCGGUGAGAUGCAUAGAUAUAUGUAGGAACUCCGGUGGCGAAAGCGGCUCUCUGGUCUGUAACUGACGCUGAGGCUCGAAAGCGUGGGGAGCGAACAGG